AGUGAACGCUGGCGGUAGGCCUAACACAUGCAAGUCGAACGGCAGCACAGUAAGAGCUUGCUCUUACGGGUGGCGAGUGGCGGACGGGUGAGGAAUACAUCGGAAUCUACUUUUUCGUGGGGGAUAACGUAGGGAAACUUACGCUAAUACCGCAUACGACCUACGGGUGAAAGCAGGGGAUCUUCGGACCUUGCGCGAUUGAAUGAGCCGAUGUCGGAUUAGCUAGUUGGCGGGGUAAAGGCCCACCAAGGCGACGAUCCGUAGCUGGUCUGAGAGGAUGAUCAGCCACACUGGAACUGAGACACGGUCCAGACUCCUACGGGAGGCAGCAGUGGGGAAUAUUGGACAAUGGGCGCAAGCCUGAUCCAGCCAUACCGCGUGGGUGAAGAAGGCCCUCGGGUUGUAAGCCCUUUUGUUGGGAAAGAAAAGCAGCAGGUUAAUACCCCGCUGUUCUGACGGUACCCAAAGAAUAAGCACCGGCUAACUUCGUG
rnacentral:rRNA from 1 species